GGGAGGGAGGGAUGCAGGGGAUGCCCUCCUGGGACCUCAACAGAGCUGCUUUUCCUCCUCCACCCUGAAGAGCAGCCAGCUUUGACCGGGGGGCUUUGGAAUCGACACUUUCUCCCAACAUGACUUUCUCACCCCCAGCUUCCUAAGAGCGACUCAUGGUACGCAACAGUUCCAGGGAAAUUAAAACACAGUGAGAUGAGCAAAGCAAGGCUUAAAGAGCUAAGGAGACUGUGGGAAUGAAGGUUUCGAAGUGGUCUGAAUGGAGAAAGAAGCGGUGGGAGAGCUGAGUCAUCAUGCAGCACACGGCAAGGUAGCAGAAAACCCUGGAGAACAACAGCAGCCUGCCCCAGAGUCAGCCGUGAGCGCUGAUUUAGUUUCAGGAAAACAAUAACACUUUGUCCCAUUAAAUUAAUGUUGUUAAUUUGAAGUUUAUUGGUUUUGCAGUUUGCUUUUAUUUCAUUUAUAAAUUUGUUUUAGCUUUAUGGCUGUGAGAGAGCUCCCUGCAUAAGGAACGUGUACCUGGUUUUAUGUUUGUACAUAUUUAAGUAACAUUAUACUAAAUAUAACUCAAGUCAACAGAGAGCAAUCACAAUGUUUCCCCUCUAAGUGGGGUCUGCACCUUCCUUAAGGAGGGAAAUACAUCUCUUGUCCCCCAGGGUGGAAGCCAUAGAGGGUGCUCACAACCCUGUCUUCAGCUGGCUGCCAGCAGGGCUGUCCUGGCUUGCUUGGGGCCUGUGAUGCUGGACCCCAGUGGAGAGGGAGGGCACGCGUAGGUGGCUCCUCUGAGCAGGUGGCUGUCUACAGGCUGGGGAUGGCAGGGCCCCGGAAGGUCUGUCCCGCCCUGGCCUCCCUCCUGGCUGCUGCCCUACAUUCCUUUGUCUUGGCCCAGGGAGCCCUUAGCCUUAUGGCAAAUUCUUGAAAAGUGUCCCUGACCCAAAGGCAGGGAGGGCCCUGUAGGAACACCCAGGGUCUCAAGGCCAUGGUGGG
rnacentral:lncRNA from 10 species